rnacentral:sRNA from 1 species
UGCUGGCUAUUUUAGGAAACUUGGUGAUCAGCGUUUCUCUAAAUAUUCAGAAAUAUUCUCACCUUCAGCUGGCACAACAAGAGCACCCAAGGCCGUACUUCAAGAGUGUGCUGUGGUGGGGUGGUGUCCUGCUGAUGGCCGUGGGAGAGAUGGGGAACUUUGCAGCCUAUGGAUUUGCUCCCAUUACUCUGAUUGCUCCGUUAGGCUGUGUGUCUGUUACAGGUAGUGCCAUUAUUUCUGUUACAUUUCUGAAAGACAAUUUGAGAGCCUCAGACUUACUAGGUACGACACUGGCAUUUGCAGGAACAUAUCUACUGGUGAACUUUGCUCCAAAUAUAACUCAGGCAAUCUCAGCAAGAACAGUACAGUAUUACCUUGUCGGAUGGCAGUUCCUGAUCUAUGUGAAAAGAAAGGAAGGAAGAUUUGAGAAGCCCAGGGUAUACCAGCCAGAGAAGAAUAAAGUGCACUCACUAAAACAGCCUUUCCCAGCCUGUCUGCCGCAGACGAGCAAUCCCCAUCCUUGCCAAAACACAAAGAGGAGUGGGGUUUUCAAGGUCAAACUAGGUGAGAAAGAUUCU